rnacentral:lncRNA from 1 species
GCGCGGCGGCGCGGCUGGGUGAGCGGAGGCAGAGAGGAUCUUCGCACCCAGAGCCGAGGCUGUACGCGAGGGAGCGCAGCUCGGGGACGAGCCGCCUCCCCACCCCCGCGACGCCGUGCCCGGCUCCGGGGCGCAAGCGCUAUGGCAGGACCCCUUUCCCUUCUUCUAGCUCUUCUGAGAACCCUGGAGGGUAUACACAUUCCAACUGGGAGAUCCAUUUGAUUUCUGCUUCAAGUUAAGAUGUUUUGUAUCUUUACCAUAAAGUGAUUGAUGAUUAGAAGCUGAGGAGAAUUGAUAACACAAGAAGAUAAUGCAUUUCGAAGAGGUUUUGGAAACAAACAGCAACAGAAAAAGAUUCUUCGCUAACUUUUGAGAAAGAAAUGAUCUCAAAAUACCCUUGUGUCUACUGAUAUUUCAAGGUAAGGGAAUGCUCUGGAAUGCUUCCCAUUUUCCAAAUGUAAUAUUUUCCAAAAUAAACUUGGGAGUAACUGCAUGGUUGAUAUCAUGUGAACAUUUUAAUUCACACAAUCAUAUUCUGGAGUUUAUGGGAGCUUGGCUUUUUUCCAGGAGGUUUGGAAGUCCAAAAGCCGGCUGUUUCUUUUCUGUGGGAUAAAGAUGGAGCAUGUGAAUCAGAACUGGUAAAUUGGAGAGGAGGUCACAAACCGAAUGGAGUUAAGCAAAGUGCAGUGCAAUCUGCAGUGGGAGAAAAGCCAGUUGUACAGAGGGGAAGGACUGGUUACCAUUAAAGUCUUCAAAAUUGGGACCUCAGAGGAGAAAUGAGUGGAGAAAUGAAUGGAGAACAACUCCUUGUUUCUCUCCCUCUCUUCUAGAGGAUGGGGCUAGUGUAAUGAGAUCCAGGUACAAUCCUUGAGAUAUCAGGGAUCCCCAUCCUGGUCUAUUCAGAAGUCCCCCAAACCUUCAGUGCCUAUAGUUCAUGUACUGCCUCUUCCAAAGAGCCUGCCUCGAUGGCUUGAUUGCAGUCAUCAAAUGACAUCUCACUAUUGAGAUGAUGUGUUUCCUUGUCCUUUUCUCAAUGGAAUGUGAGAUUCUUGAGACAAAGAUGUAACAGGCACACAAUAAUUAUUUGUUGAAUGUUGGCUGUAUCAGCUUCUCUGGUUGGAAAUAAUCCCCCCUCCUCUGAGUUCCCCUGGUGCUUUGCACUUACCUCACUCAUGUGAUCUUUUUCACAUUCCACUUUAUACUAUAAUUUCUGUAUUUUUUUAGCUCCACUAUUAUACUCAAAUUCUUCUGCAACAGAGAUGAGAUAAUGCAUGUAAAGCAUUAGUACCAUGUCUGCUGAAUAAAUGAUAGCUAUUAUUAUUUGUGUAAUGAGGCACUUGGAGGAGCAGAAAAUGAAUUUUAUUUAAAAAAACAGCUUUGGAAAAUCACAUUUGAAUAGAUCUUUAUUUUGCAAGAGUCACUUGAGUGAAUUACAAUACUACAAGAGACCUACUGCCUUGGAAGAAGGGAAUAAUACGAUGACUUGGUCUUGAAAUAUCUGUUCAGUGCUAAGCUGCACAACUUCAGGGGACAUCAUCCAUAUUGUAAUAGAUUGUGAUGGACAUAUUCUGAGAGGCACAAUGUGGAUGGUACCCCUGGAGUUCUGCAAGGAAGCUGCCCUGAAAAAAGAAAAGGAAAAGAGGCUUUGACCCUUUAUCUUUGAGGUCCUAGGUUACUGGUCCUCAAAUGGAUUGAUAUGGUACUCACUGAGAAUUAUCAGCAGGAAAGAAGAACAAGGGCCCCAGAGAGGCACUUGCCAUAAGGGAAGGGCUGUCUGCAGAGCACUGGGCUCAGCAAAGCUUUCUGACUGAGGCUAGAUGCCAUUGGGAAACAAGGAUGGACCUGAAUCACUGAAGGGCCACUGUAACCUUAAAAUCUUUCUGGGCUCUCCCCAGCACCAGUCAGAAACACCAAGGUAGAUCUAGAAGUCUCUUUUCCUCUCUAUUUCACCAGCUGCUUUUCCUCGAGGGUCCAGGAAGUUGAGACUGAUGUUUUAAUUUCACUUCAAAUAUACCAUCCUGUACUGUGUAUGCUCAGCAAGUGUUAAUGACUGACCGGCUAGCUGGUUGAGUGAAAAGUUUUAAUAUUGAAAGAAUUGGAGUCAUUCAUUAUUAUUUGAUUCCAGACAUGAGACAGAGUGGCAAUUUGAGGAAAAUAGUCCCAUGUGAUUUUGUGUGUGUGAUUUUUAUUAUUAAAAAACUAAAUCUAUCAUUACAUUAAGAAGCUUUCCUUUUAUAAUCUUUUAACCAUAUAAACAAGAAUAUUCUCAGCCCUACCUUCUCUGGCCUCAAUGUGGCUGUGAAGAUCUUGGGCCUGGGUCAGUCAACACUAGGUCUGAGUCAUGUUUUGCAACCUAUUUGUUCUGUGAUCUUUAGCAACUCACUUAAGUUCCAAGCGUGUUUCUGGUGUAUAAAAGGGGACAACAAUUGUACAUGGUUCAUAAAAUUAGAUGUUAUGUGUCAGACACUAAACCUGACACAAAGUAAGCACUUAACAAAUGUUAGCUGUCACUAUUAUUUCCUUCAUCACCAAACUCCACUCUGCAUCCUUUUAUUAUUAUUAUUUUUUUUUUUGAGACGG